rnacentral:rRNA from 1 species
UGGGGAAUAUUGGACAAUGGGCGAAAGCCUGAUCCAGCCAUGCCGCGUGUGUGAAGAAGGUCUUCGGAUUGUAAAGCACUUUAAGUUGGGAGGAAGGGCAUUAACCUAAUACGUUAGUGUUUUGACGUUACCGACAGAAUAAGCACCGGCUAACUCUGUGCCAGCAGCCGCGGUAAUACAGAGGGUGCAAGCGUUAAUCGGAAUUACUGGGCGUAAAGCGCGCGUAGGGGGUUUGUUAAGUUGGAUGUGAAAUCCCCGGGCUCAACCUGGGAACUGCAUUCAAAACUGACUGACUAGAGUAUGGUAGAGGGUGGUGGAAUUUCCUGUGUAGCGGUGAAAUGCGUAGAUAUAGGAAGGAACACCAGUGGCGAAGGCGACCACCUGGACUAAUACUGACACUGAGGUGCGAAAGCGUGGGGAGCAAACA